GUGGGGAAUUUUGGACAAUGGGCGAAAGCCUGAUCCAGCCAUGCCGCGUGCAGGAUGAAGGCCUUCGGGUUGUAAACUGCUUUUGUACGGAACGAAAAGACUCCUUCUAAUAAAGGGGGUCCAUGACGGUACCGUAAGAAUAAGCACCGGCUAACUACGUGCCAGCAGCCGCGGUAAUACGUAGGGUGCAAGCGUUAAUCGGAAUUACUGGGCGUAAAGCGUGCACAGGCGGUUAUAUAAGACAGAUGUGAAAUCCCCGGGCUCAACCUGGGAACUGCAUUUGUGACUGUAUAGCUAGAGUACGGUAGAGGGGGAUGGAAUUCCGCGUGUAGCAGUGAAAUGCGUAGAUAUGCGGAGGAACACCGAUGGCGAAGGCAAUCCCCUGGACCUGUACUGACGCUCAUGCACGAAAGCGUGGGGAGCAAACAGGAUUAGAAACCCUUGUAGUCC
rnacentral:rRNA from 1 species